rnacentral:lncRNA from 1 species
CUUAUUUUAGCGUUUCCUGUUUAGUGUUAUUUGAGACUAUAUUCUUUCUAAAUAUGUAAAAUGAUACUAUUCUAAACUCUGUAAUGUUGAAUCGAGGGUGCUACGACAAUAGGGGUUUACAGCCUUUCUUGUUUUAGGUCUUCUUUCUGGCGUUAAUGGGAUUAUAAUAGAUUCUCUCUCUUAAAAACUGAAAUAAAAAACAUCAUUUUUGUUUAAAAUAAUCUUUUUUACAUGGUCUCUUGUGAAUGGAUGAUACUAUUACGAUUCGAAGAGUAACAGCCUUCUUGUUUUAGUAUUCCCGUUCACGUAUAAAUUAAGUAAAUUCACUCUGAUUUAAACUGUUUUAUUCUCUAUAUUUUUAUACAAUUUUAUAUCAAAAACUUAUAAUAAUUUUUAUUUAGUUUACUGGUCUUUGAGAUGAAUGAAUUGAUAAUGCUAAAAUAGGGCCGGUUCCAGUCUGGCGUUAUUUUAGGGUUUUCUUUUCACUUCAAAAAAUUUACCCUGCGAUGGACAGCCAGCACUGAGGGGGAGGGACAUACUUCUUGACGUCUAAUCGGAAUGGUGGGAUGGGCCGUAGUCCAGCAUAUUCAGCCUAGUGUCAGUGUUAGUGAGAACUAUGAUCGUGUACGCAGCGCGUGUUAUUUGUGAAUUUAGUCGGUCUGUGUUUUUAGAUGUCCUGCUGCUAAAAAGUAAUUCCAGGUUCUAUCGAUCCUGAUGACGCGUUAAAUGGGAUUCCCCAGGGACCGUCCGUAGUUCCUGAGGAACCAGGGGCGUCCUUCUGCCCCCGCGGUGUGACGACACUGCUUCAUACGCCGUGUGGCAGGAAUCGCCGGUAAAAGGAUGUGGAAUGGAGUAUGCAGAUGAAGAGGAAAUGUAGAAGAGCCAUUUCUAAAGCAUAAUUAUAACGGUCGUGUCGGUUCGUGGUUCUGGGGCUGUUCUAAGGCUUUUCACAGCAUUUUAAGGCCACACUUUUUAUCUUUGAUUCGAAUCAUAAUAAUCCUUUGUAUUUCUUGUCGUUUGUAAAAAUCACAAGGAAUAAUAUCUUUAAUUUUUUUCUAUGUGUCUAUUUCUCAAAAUAAUUUAAACCCAAUUUGGCUUUUACUCAGUUAUGUUUAAUUUAUUAUUGAAAAACAUUUUUUCUGCUCAAAGUUUAAUGAAAUGUGUGCCAGGAAAUCGGAUCUUUAAUUAACAAUUUUCUUUUUUUUAAGUAUUUAUAUAACAAACAUUAUUCUUUUAUUUUUAUCUAUAGUCUCGGUAGUGUUAAAUGGGGAGUGCUAAGGUAAUUGGGGUUCACAGCCUUUCUUAUUUUAGUGUUUUCUGUUUAGUGUUAUUUGGGAUUAGAUUCUUUCUAAAAAUCCCAAAGGAUAUCGUUUUUAUUUUCUGUAAUUUUAAACUAAAUUUAAUCACUCUAUUCUAGUCUCUGUAAUGUUGAAUCGAGAGUGCUAAGGCAAUGGAGAUUCCAAGUCUUCCAUUGUUUUAGUGUUCUCUUUUUAGUGGUAUUUGGGAUUAGAUUCUUUACAAAAAAUUCUAGAGGACAUAAUUUUUAUUUUCUGUAAUUUUAAACUAAAUUUCAAACAAUAAUCACUCUAUUCCAGUCUCGGUAAUAGCCUUGUUUAUAUAUUCUUAAAGUU